AAGUCGUAACAAGGUCUCCGUAGGUGAACCUGCGGAGGGAUCAUUACCAGAGAUGGCGGGGCCCUUCCCGUGCCCCAUGGUCCCCCCCAAGUCCCCCAACCCACUUGUUUGGAACCCAAAAACCCCCUUUUUUGGCCCUCGGGGGGCAGAGCGUCCGUCGCCGCCCCCCGGAGGACCAACCAACGCUGUCUCUUUGCGUCGGAGUAUUGAUUAAAUAAAUGAAAA
rnacentral:misc_RNA from 1 species